rnacentral:rRNA from 1 species
CCUACGGGGCGCAGCAGGCGCGAAACCUCCGCAAUGCACGAAAGUGUGACGGGGUCACCCCGAGUGCCAUCCGCUGAGGGUGGCUUUUGUUCGGUGUAAUGAGCCGAAUGAAUAAGGGGAGGGCAAGUCUGGUGUCAGCCGCCGCGGUAA